rnacentral:rRNA from 1 species
UACGGGGGGGCAAGCGUUGUUCGGAAUUACUGGGCGUAAAGGGCUCGUAGGUGGCCAACUAAGUCAGACGUGAAAUCCCUCGGCUUAACCGGGGAACUGCGUCUGAUACUGGAUGGCUUGAGUUUGGGAGAGGGACGCGGAAUUCCAGGUGUAGCGGUGAAAUGCGUAGAUAUCUGGAAGAACACCCGUGGCGAAGGCGGUUCUCUGGGACGGUACUGACGCUGAGACGCGAAAGCGUGGGGAGCGAACAGG